UCCGUAAGUGGGAGUAGUCGGCAGCAGUAUCGGAUAACCGGACGAUGACCUUUUCCGAUUAGUUUUUUUUCCAAAUAGUUCAGAUCGUCCCUAGCCUCAUCCAACGGUCCAAAUCUUAUCUGUCGAGAGAAUAAGCUAACGCAGCCAAUUCAUCGGCCACCAUUCUAGGUAAGACCUCACAUCUUCCCCCUUUCUUCUAUUUUUCAUCAGCUUUUUCUUGUCUGUUUUUAGUUCCAACUUCCUAAAUUUUACCCGACCUUCAAUUGCAAUUGUGGAAUCUGAUAAUAGCUAAGCAGUUUCAUUUUGUGGGCGGUUUAUAGUUAUCCAUCUAAAUUUUAACGUGAAUUUUGACCUUUGGACACCCGAGGGAAAAUCACUUUCAGAUCUCUGAUUUGAAAAUUGGUCAACGUAGCAAAACUGAUGGACAAUUUUCAGAUCUCUAUUGAUGUUGAUGAUUUCUAUUCCAAUGUUGUCCAGUUUAGCCUGCUAAGUGAGCAUGAUUUUAUGGUGGAUUGUAUACCUCUUAUCAAAUUCAAAGAUAAGGAAGUGAGUUAAAGAGUAUUUGUUGGGUGUCACUCGCGGCUUUGCUUGGGGAAUAUGGAUUGAUCGUAAUGUUUGUCUUUGAAAGGAAUCGUAGCUCCACGAGUCUCGAAGGUGGGGUUAGGAGGAUGUGGUGGAGUCCUUAAAUCCCCAUGUGGUGAGAUAAGAGCGUAUUGCUCCUGUCCGACUGGGAUAAUAAGCGAUGAAGGGCCUGUGGUGGUUGCGUUCAAAGUUGCUUUGGACAUUUUAGAAGAGGCGGCAUUUGAGGGUGUGAAAGUGCUGGUGUUUGAAACUCAUUCAAUAGUUUCAGCUUAUCUCAGUGUUGUUAUGUUAAAAGCCUCGAGGGUUUUGGCCUCUCUUUAUUUUAUCUUAUCCACUCUUCUCUGUCGGGAGAAUAAGCUAACGCAGCCAAAUCAUCGGCCACCAUUCUAGAUUGCAGUAGUACAAAGGUUUCUCCAACUUUAAUUUGCAGGUAAUUGUUUGUUUUCUUUUAAAUUUAUUUUCUUCGCUG